rnacentral:rRNA from 1 species
CGCACGGGGUGAGUAACACGUGACUUAUCUACCCUCGAGUGGGGAAUAACUUCGGGAAACCGAGGCUAAUACCGCAUAAUACCCACGGGUCAAAGGAGCAAUUCGCUUGAGGAGGAGGUCGCGGCCGAUUAGUUAGUUGGCGGGGUAAUGGCCCCACCCAAGACAGUGAUCGGUAUCCGGCCUGAGAGGGCGCACGGACACACUGGAACUGAAACACGGUCCAGACUCCUACGGGAGGCAGCAGUGGGGAAUUUUGCGCAAUGGGGGAAACCCUGACGCAGCAACGCCGCGUGGAGGAUGAAGUCUCUUGGGACGUAAACUCCUUUCGAUCGGGACGAUUAUGACGGUACCGGAAGAAGAAGCCCCGGCUAACUUCGUG